AAAACGACUCUCGGCAACGGAUAUCUCGGCUCUCGCAUCGAUGAAGAACGUAGCGAAAUGCGAUACUUGGUGUGAAUUGCAGAAUCCCGUGAACCAUCGAGUCUUUGAACACAAGUUGCGCCCCAAGCCGUUAGGCCGAGGGCACGCCUGCCUGGGUGUCACGC
rnacentral:rRNA from 1 species